rnacentral:rRNA from 1 species
GAUCAUGGCUCAGGAUGAACGCUGGCGGCGUGCUUAACACAUGCAAGUCGAACGGGAAACAUUUCAUUGAGGCUUCGGCGGAUCUGAUCUGUUUCUAGUGGCGGACGGGUGAGUAACGCGUGGGUAACCUGCCUUAUACUGGGGGAUAACAGCCAGAAAUGACUGCUAAUACCGCAUAAGCGCACAGAACCGCAUGGUUCGGUGUGAAAAACUCCGGUGGUAUAAGAUGGACCCGCGUUGGA